rnacentral:rRNA from 1 species
GACGAACGCUGGCGGCGUGCUUAACACAUGCAAGUCGAACGGAAAGGCCCUGCUUUCGUGGGGUGCUCGAGUGGCGAACGGGUGAGUAACACGUGAGUAACCUGCCCUUGACUUUGGGAUAACUUCAGGAAACUGGGGCUAAUACCGGAUAGGAGCUCCCGUUGCAGGGAGGGGGUUGGAAAGUCUGGGCGGGUGUGGAUGGAUUCGCGGCUUAUGAGCUUGUUGGUGGGGUAGUGGCUUACCAAGGCUUUGACGGGUAGCCGGCCGGGGAGGGGGACCGGCCACCUUGGGACUACGAUACGGCCCAGCCGGCUACGUGGGACAGCGGUGGGGAGUAUUGCACAAUGAGCGGAAGCCUGAGGCAGAAACGCCGCGUGCGGAAAGACGGCCUUCGGGUUGUAAACCGCUUUCGCCUGUGACGAAGCGUGACUGACGGUAAUGAAUAAAUAAGCACCGGCUAACUACGUG